CGCCAGUGACAGCAGGUGUGAGCGCAUGCGUUUUUUGUGUAAGCUCAAUUGUUUGUUUUUGCGUAGUGUACAUGUUAUUUUUGACCGGUAGAAACAACGUCACAACUCAAAGGACUCUAAAAGGGCUACAGGGAGGUUGGCUAAAAAGACAAAGCACAUACUGCCUACGAAGAAGAAUAACAACGAAGAUGACUGUGUCUACCUCUACUGUGAGGAUAUCAACAGUCCUACUUUAAAUCUAAGGAAAACUGGGUCGGAUGUCAAAGGUGCAGGCGUUGGGCUCACACUGCAGGUGCUGGUGUUGACGAUAAAAGCACAGAAGAAGUGUUGUUUGUCUUUUUAGUGCCCCACAUAGUAUACUUACCCCAUCUUACCCCGUACAUGGGGCAAGAUGGUUUAUUUCCCAUUUUUUACAUUUCUUAAAAUAAGUCAAUUGUAAUGAUUACUUUUUUGG